UACGGGGGGGGCAAGCGUUGUUCGGAAUUACUGGGCGUAAAGGGCUCGUAGGCGGCCAACUAAGUCAGACGUGAAAUCCCUCGGCUUAACCGGGGAACUGCAUCUGAUACUGGAUGGCUUGAGUUCGGGAGAGGGAUGCGGAAUUCCAGGUGUAGCGGUGAAAUGCGUAGAUAUCCGGAGGAACACCGAUGGCGAAGGCAGGUCUCUGGGCUGUAACUGACGCUGAGGAGCGAAAGCCAGGGAGCAAACGGG
rnacentral:rRNA from 1 species